UACGGAAGGCAGCAGUGGGGAAUAUUGCACAAUGGGCGCAAGCCUGAUGCAGCCAUGCCGCGUGUAUGAAGAAGGCCUUCGGGUUGUAAAGUACUUUCAGCGGGGAGGAAGGCGAUGUGGUUAAUAACCGCGUCGAUUGACGUUACCCGCAGAAGAAGCACCGGCUAACUCCGUGCCAGCAGCCGCGGUAAUACGGAGGGUGCAAGCGUUAAUCGGAAUUACUGGGCGUAAAGCGCACGCAGGCGGUCUGUUAAGUCAGAUGUGAAAUCCCCGGGCUUAACCUGGGAACUGCAUUUUGAACUGGCAGGCUUGAGUCUCGUAGAGGGGGUAGAAUUCCAGGUGUAGCGGUGAAAUGCGUAGAGAUCUGGAGGAAUACCGGUGGCGAAGGCGGCCCCUGGGACGAAGACUGACGCUCAGGUGCGAAAGCGUGGGGAGCAAACAGGAUUAGGAUACC
rnacentral:rRNA from 1 species